CAGCACCCAGGAGAUCCAAACUUUGUUCCUGGUCUCUCUCCACAGUUGGAAUUGGGAACUACACAUGGGCACAGCUUACAGGUGGAAUGAUGACUCACACCUGAAGAUAUUUUGACCUUUGUAGUCUUAGGGCAAAAACUAAGGUCCUGUGUCUUCAACUUGUAGGAUGGUCACGGAAUAUUACAACUUGCAUGCACGUUGAAUGAAGCCCUCAAAUGCUACAAAGAGUGCCAAAAUAGAGCCCAGCUAAAACUGUGGUAAAACUGUGGCUGUUGUAUGCAAACUCAAAUAAAACUGGAUCCAGGUAUGAGAGUCAUCAUCUCACCUGUGAGCUGUGACCAUGUAUAUGUCGCAAUUUCACCUGUCAUCAGGAAGCAGACAUGAGAGUCCUAUCACCUGGGUGCUGGACGAAGUUUCGCUCUUGUUUCCCAGGCCGGAGCACAAUG
rnacentral:lncRNA from 1 species